GUGCCAGCCGCCGCGGUAAUACAGAGGUCUCAAGCGUUGUUCGGAAUCACUGGGCGUAAAGGGUGCGUAGGUGGCGUGGCAAGUCAGAUGUGAAAGCCCGGGGCUCAACCCCGGAACUGCAUCCGAUACUGCCAUGCUAGAGUACUGAAGGGGUGACUAGAAUUCUCGGUGUAGCAGUGAAAUGCGUAGAUAUCGAGAGGAAUACCAAAGGCGAAGGCAGGUCACUGGGCAGUUACUGACACUGAGGCACGAAGGCCAGGGGAGCAAACGGGAUUAGAAACCCUGGUAGUCC
rnacentral:rRNA from 1 species